AUGUUGACAGCACUGUCAAUACUAAUGAAAUGUUUCUGUUAUUUUUUUCCAAAAAUCUUAGAUAACUUAGUGUCUGCCUGUGACCUGCCAGAAAAUGCAGUUUUUCAGAGACUUUUCAGACUUUACCGAAAAGCUCUACUUCUCAGUAGCUGCACUGAGGAAACACAGGAAACAAUCGCUGUGUCACUCACUUGGUGUAACAAAGAGAAGGUGUACACAUGUGUGCCGAAGCGUCAGCAGGUGAGUUUUAACCAUGUUAUGUGUUGUGGUACAUUUCUGUGUAUUUAUAAUUUGUUUUAUUAAGUGACGUCUUUGGAUUUUUCUUGUAGAAUUAGCCCAUUUCAGUACCGUGUCACAUGACAAUGCUCUUGCAACUUUGGAGGAGGCUGAAAGUGAGUCAUUAGGUGACUCAGCUACCGAUGAUGACUCGGAUCAUGCAAGCCAGAGAAGUUGUGGCAGUGAGAGAGAGCGAGAUAUGACAGACGGAGAAGUACAAGAUAAAGACCUUGAUUCAGAUGAGCAAGAAAACACUAAUGUAGAUAAAUAUUUGACUAGUCAGAACACUACAAAAUGGUCAUGUGUACUUGAAUGAACCAAUAUUAGAACUGUCAGAAAAUGUUAUUAGGUGCUUGCCAAGAUUGAAACCUAUUGGACAGAACGCCAACACUGCGAUUCAAUGUCGAAAAUUGUCAGUAGUGGAAGACAUUAUGCUAUAAGAUGUUUUGAAAUACACUCAUUAUGAAAUACAAGGAAACAUCCUUUAUGCAUCAGCAGUAGUAAUACUUGAGCUAUUUGCUCAUUUCUGGAAAGCUUUAUUUUGAACUGUCGAGUAAUUUAUACACCAUCUGAAUAUAUGAUAAUUGAAGUAGUAGUACUUAUCAUGACACCUCACUAUCUGAACUAAAAGCCAUCAUAGCAAGACUUUAUCAUUCUAAUCAUCAGAGUCUAAAGAUUUAUGGAGAAGUGGCAGAUGUGGCAUUGAGAUUUCUUUUUUAGAACAAUAAUGACACCCAAGAGAUUUGGUUUCCUUCAAAACUGCCUACAUUUUGACAAAAUGAUCCACCAAGAAAGAAAAAUAUCUGACAAUUUGCCUUCUCAUCACUCAUUUUUGGAAAGCUUUGCUUGAACUGUCAGGCAAUUUGUAUAUUGUCCCAUUUCAUGACCACUGAAGAACAUUUUGCAUCAUUUCAUGGUUGUUGAAGCUUUGGCAACAUAUAUCAAACAAACCUUCCAAAUAUGGUAUAAAAUUAUAUGCCCUGGUAGAUGUGAAGACAUUUUAUACCUUGAACUUAAAAAUUUAUCUUGGAACUCAGCCACCAGGUCUUUAUUUGUACAGUAGUAAACCAUAUGAGGUGAACAGAUUUGUUGCACCUAUUUCAAAAAAUAACCCAAAAGUCACCUUUGACAAUUGGUUCACUAGUUACCCACUGAUGCUACAUUUGCUAAAAGAACACCAGUUGACCAACACAGGAACUGUUCACAAGAACAAGGUAGAGAUUUCUGAAAAAAUGUUGCCAGUUCACAGUAGAGGAAUAUAUAAUAUAUCCCUCUAUUUGUAUUUCAGAAAGAUAUGACAUUGGUCUCCUGUGUGGUAAAGAAAAACAAAAUAGUACUGAUACUGUCAAUAUUGCAUCAUGAUAAUAUAAUCAGUAGUGGAGCCAGGUGUGGUGGUACAGUAAUCCCAACACUUGGAAGGGUGAGGCAGAAAGAGUCUGUGAACUCAUGGUCAGCCUGUGCUAGUAGUAAGUUCUAGACAAGUCUGGACUAUAUUAUGGUGAAGAAAAACACAGGAAUAUCGAUACUGCUACCCUUACACCAGGAUGAUAAGAUUAAUAGUGAGGCAAGGAGUGGUGGUGCAUGCUUGUGAUCCUAGUACUUGAGAGGCUGAGGCAGGAGGAUCAUGUGUGUUCAAGGUCAGCCAAUGUGGCAUAGUGAGUUUAAUACUAGCCUGAGCUAUAUAGUGAGACCUUUCUCAAGAAAUAAAAGAUUGAUAGUGAAUCCUUAACAUAAAUGAAGCCAGAAAUGGUCACAUUUUGCAACAAAAUGAAAGGUAGAGUAGAUGUUGACAAGGCAUGUGGCAACUGUGAUGUCACUUGAAACACAAAGCAUUGGCCAAUGGUUGUGUUGUACUUGAUCCUAAACAUGUCAGACAUAAAUCAUUUCAUAGUUUACAAGGAAAACUGCAAGUGCAAAAUAUCAGGGAGAAAUUCUUUUAAAGGACUGGGACUGGAAUUGAUAAAAGAUCAGUCACAGCAGUGGAGGAACAAUGUGUAUCUGCCCAAAGAACUUCAUACAGUAAUCAUGGAGCAGACCGGUAAACAGACCGGUAAAACAUCACAAGAACCUCCUAAGAAAACAGGAAGACCAGCAAAAUGCCAAGAAGUCCCUACAAAAAGAUAGGACAACAAAACACAUGUGCUAUCAGUGGAAGCCAUGCUUGUGGAUGGAACAUGCUACUUUUAUUUGUGAAGGCUGCCCUAGUCUUGAUAAUUGAAGUACAGAUUAUUUUUGUGGUAGAGUUUUAUAUGUAUUUUCAUUGUAGUUCACGUAAGAAUUUAUUUCUGUUGCUGUUUUUAGAUUUAGCAAGCAAAUGAACAGUUGAUGUGGAAAAUGUUGAUAUUUAUUCUAAACAUUCAAUAUAUAAUUGUUUUUUUAUUUUAUAGAGAUUUCAUUUUUCUGUUAAGUCCACAUUGUAUAAUAUAAUAUGAACCCUCUGACAAAACAUAAACAUGAGAGGUCACAAGUUUGACCUGCCAAAAAAGGUAGAAAAGCAAAACUCACACGCUAUCAAUUUAAGCAAUACUUGUGUAUAGAACAUGCUAUUUGUAUAUGUGAAGACUGUCUUAUGUGUGAUAAUUUAAAAUGAGAUCGUUUCUGUGAUAAAGUUUUAUCUAUAUUUUCAUUGUAAUUCACAUAGGAAUUUAUUUCUGCUGCUGUGUUUUAGAUUCUGUAAGCAAGUAAACAGUUGAUGUUGAAAAUGUUGAUGUUUAUUCUAAACACUCAUUAUUUGUUAAAAAUGUAAUGUUUUAUUGAUACUUUUUCUUCCUGUUAAGUACACAUUGUUCCAUAUAACAAAAGUCAUAAAAUUAAAAUUAAUAAUUCAUCAAUAGAAAGCUUCCUAAAAAUACACGUGGAGGUUAAACACUCUCCCUAAUAUGCCUUUCGAAAAAUUUAUCAUCUCGCGCCUGUAAGAUAGGUGCAUUUAUAAUAUGAUUCAAUAAGUGUCUAAAUGCAUAUAUUUCCCAAACUUUUAUAUUAUGAGUAAUAUAAAUUAUGAAAACAAAAUAAAUGGAAGCUUUAAGAAAACAAAGUAGCUUUUUUGCUGGGGAUUUAGCUCAGCGGCACAGCGCCUGACUGGCAAGCGUGAAGUCGUGAGUUCGAUUACUGGUACUGAAAAAAAACAAAAACAAAAACAAAAAGAAAAACACAAAUAAACAAAAAAAGUAGCUUUUUCUUUCUGGUACUGCCAGUUAGUAACUUAACCCUGAUGAAUUAUGUUUAUGAACGGUGAGGUAAGGCAAGUGAUAAUCAAUUUAG
rnacentral:lncRNA from 1 species